AUUGAACGCUGGCGGCAGGCCUAACACAUGCAAGUCGAACGAGUGGCGGACGGGUGAGUAAUGUCUGGGAAACUGCCUGAUGGAGGGGGAUAACUACUGGAAACGGUAGCUAAUACCGCAUACCAUCAGAUGUGCCCAGAUGGGAUUAGCUAGUUGGUGGGGUAACGGCGCACCAAGGCGAAGAUGCCUAGCUGGUCUGAGAGGGUGACCAGCCACACGGGGACUGAGACACGGUCCAGACUCCUACGGGAGGCAGCAGUGGGGAAUAUUGCACAAUGGGCGAAAGCCUGAUGCAGCCAUGCCGCGUGUAUGAAGAAGGUCUUCGGGUUGUAAAGUUCUGUCAGCGGGGAGGCGUUACCCGCAGAAGAAGCCCCGGCUAACUCCGUGCCAGCCGCCGCGGUAAUAC
rnacentral:rRNA from 1 species